UGCAGGCUAUCUGGGAACGAGAUCAUUGCAACGAGAUUGGGAUGAGAAUUAAAUUAAAGAUGGCUGUUAACGAAGUUGACUGUAGUGGGGCUUCUCGCCCUGUUUGGUUGGUCAAGGUACGUUUAUUUUGCUUUGUAUUUCAAACUCUUCAUGUUUCAUAUUAGGAGGAGCUGUUUAUCGCCUAAGUUGCAAGGCUACAUAACGACUAUGUCAAACAAAAGUAUAAAACAUUUUCAACAGUAUAUUAAAUUUGGCCACUAUUUGUUGUAUAUAUUUAGUUUCUCAUCCCUGCCCGCAUGCUUUUGAAGAAAAUUAUAUUGUUCGCCA